rnacentral:rRNA from 1 species
CACGUAGGGGGCGAGCGUUGUCCGGAUUUAUUGGGCGUAAAGAGCUCGUAGGCGGCUUGUCGCGUCGACUGUGAAAUCCCGCGGCUCAACCGGGGAGGGUCGUCGGGGACGGGUGAGCUUGAGGGUAUCAGGGGUUGGUGGAAUUCCCGGGUGUAGUGGUGAAAUGCGUAGAGAUCGGGAGGAACACCCGUGGCGAAGGCGGCCAACUGGGAUCACACCUGACGCUGAGGCACGAAGGCGUGGGGGAGCGAACGGGAAUUGAGAAACCCU